GACGAACGCUGGCGGCGUGCCUAAUACAUGCAAGUAGAACGCUGAAGGAGGAGCUUGCUUCUCUGGAUGAGUUGCGAACGGGUGAGUAACGCGUAGGUAACCUGCCUGGUAGCGGGGGAUAACUAUUGGAAACGAUAGCUAAUACCGCAUAAGAGUAGAUGUUGCAUGACAUUUGCUUAAAAGGUGCAAUUGCAUCACUACCAGAUGGACCUGCGUUGUAUUAGCUAGUUGGUGGGGUAACGGCUCACCAAGGCGACGAUACAUAGCCGACCUGAGAGGGUGAUCGGCCACACUGGGACUGAGACACGGCCCAGACUCCUACGGGAGGCAGCAGUAGGGAAUCUCCGGCAAUGGACGGAAGUCUGACCGAGCAACGCCGCGUGAGUGAAGAAGGUUUUCGGAUCGUAAAGCUCUGUUGUAAGAGAAGAACGAGUGUGAGAGUGGAAAGUUCACACUGUGACGGUAUCUUACCAGAAAGGGACGGCUAACUACGUG
rnacentral:rRNA from 1 species